rnacentral:rRNA from 1 species
UACAGAGGGUGCGAGCGUUGUCCGGAAUCACUGGGCGUAAAGGGCGCGUAGGCGGCUUGAUAAGCGUGCGGUGAAAGCCCGGGGCCUCAACCCCGGGUCCGGCCGUGCGAACUGUCGAGCUGGAGCACUGUAGAGGCAGGUGGAAUUCCGGGUGUAGCGGUGGAAUGCGUAGAGAUCCGGAAGAACACCGGUGGCGAAGGCGGCCUGCUGGGCAGUGGCUGACGGCUGAGG